UUACUUACCUAGCAGGGGAGAUAUCAUGAUCAGGAAGGUGGUUUUCCCAGGGCAAGGCUUACCUCAUUGCACUGUGGAUGUGCUGACCUCUGCCAUUUUCCCUAGGGGGAAAAGUUGGGGGGGCAGUAUUGUGGUACAGUGGAUUAAACUGUCACUUU
ensembl:snRNA U1 U1 spliceosomal RNA